rnacentral:rRNA from 1 species
UACGGAGGGAGCUAGCGUUGUUCGGAAUUACUGGGCGUAGAGCGCACGUAGGCGGCGAUUUAAGUCAGAGGUGAAAGCCCGGGGCUCAACCCCGGAACUGCCUUCGAGACUGGAUUGCUUGAAUCCUGGAGAGGUGAGUGGAAUUCCGAGUGCAGAGGUGAAAUUCGUAGAUAUUCGGAAGAACACCAGUGGCGAAGGCGGCUCACUGGACAGGUAUUGACGCUGAGGUGCGAAAGCGUGGGGGGAGCAAACAGGAUUAGAUACCCUGGUAGUCCACGCCGUAAACGAUGAUAACUAGCUGCCGGGGCACAUGGUGUUUCGGUGGCGCAGCUAACGCAUUAAGUUAUCCGCCUGGGGAGUACGGUCGCAAGAUUAAAACUC